AAACCGUUCGGGGGUAAACGGACAGAGCCCGUGAAUCCGGGCGACAGAAUUCAAAAUCGACGAUUCGCGUCGUCGGUUUGAUAUUUCUGUCGCCGUUUGUAACUAUACGGACGUCGCGACCCGUUUGGUGUCGGUCUUAGGAGGCGCGCUAAAGUUCGUUGACGCGUUGUCGAAGCCGUUUCGGCGGUCUAGACGCGCGUCUCGAGUACGCGUUCUUUAUUUCUGGCUGACUCGCCAGACGGUAAGCGUAACGGUGUCUGCGGCGGCCAUUCUUCACGGAUGUAGCGUCGUCCGUCAGUACCGGUCUGCGACGAAUCUUCGGGCCUCUUUCCGA
rnacentral:rRNA from 1 species